rnacentral:pre_miRNA from 1 species
GUGCAUAAUGUUUGAAAUUUUGCACACAUUUACAAUAAUUGUAAAUGUGUUGAAAAUCGUUUGCACAACUGUG